CGGGGUGUAGCUCAGUUUGGUAGAGCACCUGCCUUGGGAGCAGGGGGUCGCAGGUUCAAAUCCUGUCGCUCCGACCA
rnacentral:tRNA from 1 species